rnacentral:tRNA from 1 species
AAAGAGAUGACAGAAAAUAAUGUAUCUGGCUUGAAACCAGAAUGAUGGAAGUUUAAAUCUUCCUCUCUUUU